rnacentral:lncRNA from 1 species
UAAUACUCUUUAUUUAGAAUAACAUCUGACACUUAAAUUCAAAUGAGUUGUUGUAACUUAACAUUCUUUAUCUUAUAUUGAAACUCAAACAAAUAAAAGCAUUUUCACAUUAAACUACUACAACAUCAAUUAACAGAAGCAAGAUGAGAGGAGACCUUUGAAACUGCCGAAAAUAUCUUCAGAACAUCGACCAAGACCAAUGAACCAAAGCUUGCCGACAAACUCGAACUUGACCUCGGCUCAUUCAUAGUCCAUAUUCGAAACCAAAAUUGAAAGAUGAAGAUGAAUUUUCUUUCUCUAAAAGCAAUCAAAUAAAAGAAUAAUGACCAAACAAAACUCUGAUUGUGCAACAAUCAAUUGAAAAUUGCCAAAUAAAUUCUAGAUAAGAAAGGUCGUAGUUCAACAAAGCAGUAAUCAGCAGAUUCAGCAAGAGACAGGAGAUAUCAGCAACUCCCCACCAAAAAUGCUUAGAAACCCAAAAUUUAAAAGUAAAACAAGCAGCAAUUUCGAACAAGGAUUGAGACCGCUUUCUAUCCUAUUUUUUUCCUUCAUCUUUUUUGUGAAAUUUUCUUGUUCUCUGAUUGUGUGUGCGUGUGCUUUUCAGCCAGUGAUGACCAGUUUCGGAGGUCCGUCAGGUUCGGGAUAAAAUGGAGGGACGGCUGGCUAUUAGGUGUUAGGGGGUGCAGAAAAGAGGUUUUGGCUAGUUCUUCUCCGGAGAGCUCUGGUGGUAAAUGUGGAGUUAGGUUGCUAUCAGGCGAGGAAGAAUGGAGGUGGAGAUGGGGUAUACGGCUGGGGGUCUUUGAUCUCUAGGGUUCAUUUGCUUGUUUCUUAAGGUUGUUGAUGUUGAAGAAGAACCGAUUGGGUGGGUGUGGGGGUUGUCGCUGAUGCUCUUUUCUUGUAGAGAAAUUUUCAGAAAGUACUAUUUUUUAGCGAUAAUUAGCUAUUUAUAAGUACCAUUUUCUAUUUUAGGGAUUGUAGAUAUGUAAUAUGUUGCUAUAAGAUGUAUUAGAUGUAUUUAAGCUAAUGUAUUCAUGAAUACAGUAACAAAAAUAGUCAUGAAUCAGGGAAAUCCAGCUAAUCAGUU